rnacentral:lncRNA from 1 species
AGUGUCUAUCAUCAGACUUAGUCUCAGUCCAUCAGAACCAGGAUUGGUCUUUAAUCACAUGUAAGAAGCAUUCCAAGAAACAUAAGUGUGCUGGAAUAGCUCAGUAUCAUGUAACUAGCUCUUAAUAGUAACAUCCAGUAUGAAGUAAAACACUUCCAUCGUUACAUGAUUUUAAUAUUUUAUUUAUGAUAAAAAUUGAUGUCAAUUACAAUAAUUAUCUUUGUUAUCGUCAAAAUAGUUU